CAAGCCGGGGGCCGCGGGUUCGAAUCCAGCCGACGGAACAAAAAGUUUCCAAAGUUCCUAGGUCAUGGAUUUAUAUAAGUGUAUA